GCGUGCUGGCGGCGGCGGCGGCGGCCGCGCAGUCCCGGCCCAGCGCCCGCGGCGCCCCUGCUGCGGCCCGAGCGGCCUGGCUGCGGGAUCGGUGGAUAGCGAUGGCGCGGCCCCGCCGGCAGCGCCCGGGGGCCUGGGCGCCGCUGCUCUUGCUGCUGCUGGCCGGGCCCGUCGCCUGUGCCGCCAGCCCCGCGGACGACGGCGCGGGCGCCGGGGGCCGGGGGCCCCGGGGCCGCGCGCGGGGGGACUCGGGCUCCGACGAGGCGGUGCCGCGCCACGACUCCUCCUACGGCACCUUCGCGGGGGAGUUCUACGACCUACGCUACCUGUCCGAGGAGGGUUACCCUUUCCCUACUGCUCCUCCUGUGGAUCCAUUUGCCAAAAUCAAAGUGGAUGACUGUGGAAAAACUAAGGGAUGCUUUAGAUAUGGCAAACCGGGCUGUAAUGCAGAGACCUGUGACUACUUCCUCAGCUACCGGAUGAUAGGGGCUGAUGUGGAAUUUGAGCUGAGUGCAGACACAGAUGGUUGGGUAGCAGUUGGAUUCUCUUCAGACAGGAAAAUGGGUGGUGACGACGUCAUGGCCUGCGUCCACGACGACAAUGGCAGGGUGCGCGUACAGCACUUCUAUAACGUAGGCCAGUGGGCAAAGGAGAUUCAGAGAAACCCUGCCAGAGAUGAAGAAGGAGUUUUUGAGAAUAAUCGGGUCACCUGCAGAUUUAAACGGCCUGUGAACGUUCCCAGAGAUGAAACGAUUGUUGAUCUGCAUUUAAGUUGGUAUUAUCUGUUUGCUUGGGGUCCAGCCAUUCAGGGCUCCAUCACCCGACAUGAUAUAGACUCACCACCGACUUCAGAGCGUGUUGUCAGUAUUUACAAGUAUGAGGACAUUUUUAUGCCAUCAGCUGCCUAUCAGACCUUCUCCUCUCCAUUCUGUCUGCUUCUCAUUGUUGCCCUGACCUUCUACUUAUUGAUGGGAACCCCUUAACCACAGCUGCAAAGCCAACAGAUUCAAUACAUUAUUAGAAAGUCUUUAGUAUAUUUUUAAAAAAUAUGCAGUAUAAUUUUAGCUUCUAUUAUGUACAAAAAAAAAAGACUUAUAUGAUUCAGCUUUCUGGAAGAAAGAGCAAGUUUCUUUUCUAAGCGAAGAGGGUUGUUUAAUAAUGGCCCCAUACUUUGGGAAAGUACUUAAAACUUUUCUAAGCACUCACUUUCAAAUAUGUUUUCUUAUUUGAGCUUCCCAACAUCUCUGAGUUGGCUUGAUGAACAUUAUUAUUGCCAUCGUACUGAAUGGGAUUUGAGACCCAGGAAGGCUCCCUUUUUAUGACUCUCGUGCCAUGUAGCCUUGGCUACUUGGUCAGAUAACACAUAGCAAGGUAGAGAAAGCUAGGCAUAGAAACCAUGUCUCUAAACAACCUUUACUCUUCCAACUACAGCUCAAGAGAGUUACUUGGAGUAAUACUAAGGAGAACUUCACUGGAUGGCCCAAGUUCACAGUCAGCCUUUUAGGCAGAAGAACUUUCAAAUUUUCAUAAAGCGUGAAGGCAUUUGGAUACUUACACAGCUAAUGAGGAGAAUGAAGGAGAUAAUAGUGAUAUGAAAAUGGUUCAUAUUUAUUUGAAGUAUCUUCUGGAUUAGUAAGUAGCUAAAAGAACACAUUUUUUUUUGCUGCUUGGAAAGGUUAGAAAUGGAACUGUGAGUGUUCCUGAAGAUGUAAAAUUAUAUUAAUGAUAAAAAAAAAUAUGGGCAUUCGUAGAAGUUAGAAUUUGGACUCUUCUACCACUGUAUUUAAUAAAUUAAGGUGUUUAUUUGUGGUUACAGCUAAUUCUGUUGUCAGUCACCGUAUAUUGAGUAUGAUUAAAUGUAUAUUAUAAUAGACAAAUCAUCUUGAAUAUUCAAGGCAUUUUGAUAAUAAAUUAACAUUUUUGGAGAUUGUGGAGAUUUGGAGUAGAAACAUUUUAAAGAUGACAUUUUUUUUUUAAUUAGCAAAUGCGAAAUGACCCAUCAAGUGAAUUUACUUAGAGUAUCCAUUCAAAUGUUCAGACUUGUAAAUUGGAUUGGCAGUCAGCAUAAUUUAUAAUAAUGUCUUGACUUAAUGCAUUUUCUUUUUUCAAAGGAACCCAAAUGUUCCUUUAUUCCAACUGACUGAGUUAACAGCCCAUUUAGAGGAAAAGAGUCUCUGGGUAUAAUUAUGCUGCUGAGGCAUUUCCACUGUAGAGUUCUGGAGUCUUCUGGCUCCCCCGCAACUCCCCACCCCGUUGCUUUAAAGUUGGCUCCAACUUUGUGGUUUUUGUGAUUAACAACACUGGAGACUGAGACUUCUAAUGCCAUCCUUGGAAUCCAUGUCAGAAGUGAAAGACCACCUCUCCUAUGGGGGAAGCUUUCACAUUCUUCUGGCACUGAACAAAAAUAAGGAAAACAUCCAGAUUCUGUGACAUUUACUGCGUGCAUCCAAGGGAUGUAGGAGAAACAAUCCUCACUGCAGGUGGACAGAGGUGAAAUGACAUCAAGCGAGUGAUGGAUUCAAACUCAAGUCAUCGGAUUCAAGUCCCUGGCUCCACCUGACUCAUAACCAAGCCCUCCAGCCUUGGCUGAGGAUGGCCUGUGCAUCACCUAAGAGUUGAUGUGAAAGAGGUGUCAGUAAAUUCAGAGCUGGGUAAGCAGCAGUUUUAUUUUAUCUAAGCUGUGCCAAUCGUGAACUACUUUCACUGUGCAGUUGCUCUUCAUGGUGUGGAUUACAGUUGAUCCUUAAACAUCACAUGGGGUUAGGGGCACUGACCCUCUAGGCAGUGGAAAAUCCACCUAUAAUUUAUAGUAAGCCCUCCAUAAUAUGUGGUUCCCAUGUCCACGGUUCCUCCUAUCCAUGGUCACAUGGUCCAAGGAUGCAACCAACCUUACUACAUGUAGCACUGUAGUAUUUACUAUUGAAAAAAAUCCAUGUAUAAAUGGACCUGCACAGUUCAAACUUACGUUGUUCAAGGGUCAACUGUACAAUGUUCAGACUAGUUUAUUUUCCUCUAGACAAUUUUUAAGUAUUAUCUAAAUCUGUUACAUCCACGGGAUGGGAGUGUUUUACUCAUGUGACUAUGGCAUCACCUUGUGUAUCAUAAUGGAAACAUGUUUGAGAACCACCGCAAUAGGUCAAAUGCUGAGAUGUGAAUACUUUGCUGUAUAUAACUGUACUGUUCUCUAAACAGAAUUGGUUAUGUUUAGUGAACAGUUUGAUUAUUCUCAGUGUGUUUGUAUAUAUAUUUGUACAUACAUGAUGAGGUCUGUAUGUGUUUAUACAUAAAUGCCUAUAUAUACACAUACCAUGGCCAUUUGAAGGUCUUUGUCAGGAUUGUUUCUGCUUCUGAUCUUGUAAAUACUUUUAAACCCAAGAGAUAUAACAUUGUAUGUAUUACAGGCCAAACUACCCUUAAGUUUAUAGUAAUUUCGUUUGCAGAAAGGGUUCCUGGAUCCGUUAUUAAACCUUGCCUCCUCCAUUCAACAUUCUAUGACUUGUUAAGAACAUAUAAAAUAAAGUAUCAUUGUUGAGUUUGACUUUUCUAUACCGUUAGUUAAGAAACUAAGCCUAGUGUGAACUGAGUCAAUGGCAUGUAGAUGUAACCUAUCCAUGUUUUAUAUUUAAUUAGAUUUCUUGUUCAGUUAAUCAGUUAUUUAGUUUCAAGUUGUACCUGGUUGUUCUCAUAUUUAAUAGAUAAAUAUAAAUUCCUUUUCAUGAAAAUAGUGGCUAUUAACAUGAUUUUAAAUGUGACUAAAGAUUUAAGUGAACCAUCAAGCGCUUUGGGGUUUUUCACUUAAAGUAUGCUGAUAUUCAACUAAUGUUUUCUGUUUUCCCCUGGAUACUGGCUGUUAGGCAAAUAGCUGUUCUUUUCUAUUCUUCUGGAGAGCCAUGGAUUCUCUAGGGUUACGGGGUACGUGGUGGUUGUGCCAUUCACCCAGAUCACUAAAGCCGUUACCAUUUCAUCACACAGAAUGUCCUGACCACCUGGAAGAGUAAAUGCACCUUCUCCACAUGCCUUAUUCCCCCAGAUGCGCUCAUAUGCUGGAACAAUCUGGCUCCAGGUGUAUUAAUAUACUUUUUUGCGACUGUCUGUAAAAUACUAUUUUGUAAGAACUAUGCCUUUAGAUGGACAUUGAUGGGUUAUAUUUGUUUUAUAAUAAUUGUGUACCUAAUGUUCAAUUGUGGUUGAUUUUGAGAUUUAUGAUAUUUAUAAGCCCGUCCUACGUGGAUUUUUACGAUAUGUGGUACCUUACUAAUAAAGACAUGGAUUUCUAUUUAUGUAAAGUAAUUGUAGCAAUAUUCCUAGAUGCUACCUAAAUGAUUGUUCUGCCCAUCUGCCGUCACAAAUACUUCUAUAUUUAGAGGGCUAUGUUAGAGUUAGAAUAUAUUAACUAGAUUUAAAUUUUAAAAUAUAGAUUC